UACGUAGGGGCCGAGCGUUGUCCGGAAUUAUUGGGCGUAAAGAGCUCGUAGGCGGUUCGGCAAGUCGGAUGUGAAAUCUCCACGCUUAACGUGGAGGGGCCAUUCGAAACUGCUGUGACUCGAGUCCGGUAGGGGAGUGUGGAAUUCCCGGUGUAGCGGUGAAAUGCGCAGAUAUCGGGAGGAACACCAGUGGCGAAGGCGGCUCUCUGGGCCGCUACUGACGCUGAGGAGCGAAAGCGUGGGGAGCGAACAGG
rnacentral:rRNA from 1 species